rnacentral:misc_RNA from 1 species
GAUGAAGAAUGCAGCGAAAUGCGAUAAGUAAUGUGAAUUGCAGAAUUCAGUGAAUCAUCGAAUCUUUGAACGCACAUUGCGCCCCUUGGUAUUCCGAGGGGCAUGCCUGUUCGAGCGUCAUUAUAACCCCUCAAGCUCAGCUUGGUGUUGGGGCCUGCUGCACUGGCAGCCCUUAAAAUCAGUGGCGGCACCAUCUGGCUCUAAGCGUAGUAAUUCUUCUCGCUAUGGAGUCCUGGUGGAUGCUUGCCAUCAACCCCCAAUUUUUCUAUGGUUGACCUCGGAUCAGGUAGGGAUACCCGCUGAACUUAAGCAUAUCAAUAAGCGGAGGA